rnacentral:rRNA from 1 species
UUCCUGGGAAGUCCUCGUGUUGCAUCCCU